rnacentral:rRNA from 1 species
UGGGGAAUAUUGGGCAAUGGGCGCAAGCCUGACCCAGCAACGCCGCGUGAGGGAAGAAGGUCUUCGGAUUGUAAACCUCUGUCCUUGGUGAAAAGUAAGAGAUGGUAGCCAAGGAGGAAGCUCCGGCUAACUACGUGCCAGCAGCCGCGGUAAUACGUAGGGAGCGAGCGUUGUCCGGAAUGAUUGGGCGUAAAGGGCGUGUAGGCGGCCGUUUAAGUCUGGAGUGAAAUUCCUGUUUUUAAGGUAGGAACUGCUUUGGAAACUGGACGGCUUGAGUGCAGGAGAGGUUAUCGGAAUUCCCGGUGUAGCGGUGAAAUGCGUAGAGAUCGGGAGGAACACCAGUGGCGAAGGCGGGUAACUGGACUGCAACUGACGCUGAGGCGCGAAAGUGUGGGGAGCAAACAGG